CUAUUAGGCUGUGAAAUCCUUCGUACUUAUAGAUUAAUUUUAAAAACUAAUCUUUUAUUUAAGUUAAAAGAAAUAAAAAUAAAGAAUACAACUCAGCUGAAAGAGAUUGGCAAUUGAUUAGAAGGGGUCGUUAUGUAGAAUUCAAUUUGAUUUAUGAUCGUGGUACAAAAUUUGGAUUAUACACACCUGGUGCUAGGUUUGAAAGUAUUUUGAUGUCUCUACCAUUAACAGCGAAAUGGGAAUACAUGAAUAAACCAGCGGAUAAAUCCCGUGAAGCACAACUUUUAGAAGUAUUAAGAAACCCCAAGGAUUGGAUUUAAACAAAAAUAAUUGUUAAUACCUCAUAUAUUGUAUUUUAUAUAAAUUUUAUUUGGAGAAAAAUUAAAA